rnacentral:rRNA from 1 species
UACGGGGGGGGCAAGCGUUGUUCGGAAUUACUGGGCGUAAAGGGCUCGUAGGCGGCCAACUAAGUCAGACGUGAAAUCCCUCGGCUUAACCGGGGAACUGCGUCUGAUACUGGAUGGCUCGAGUUUGGGAGAGGGAUGCGGAAUUCCAGGUGUAGCGGUGAAAUGCGUAGAUAUCAUGAGGAAGACCAGUGGCGAAGGCGGAUCUCUGGACAGUUCCUGACACUGAGGCACGAAGGCCAGGGGAGCAAACGGG